AACGUAGCGAAAUGCGAUACUUGGUGUGAAUUGCAGAAUCCCGUGAACCAUCGAGUCUUUGAACGCAAGUUGCGCCCGAAGCCCUCGGGCCGAGGGCACGCCUGCCUGGGCGUCACGCAUCGCGUCGCCCCUCCCCUCCCCCGCUCCCGACGGAGCGGGCGGGUGCGGGGGGCGGAGACU
rnacentral:rRNA from 1 species